CCGUUCGCUCUGCGAAGUUAAGCAGCUCAAGCUCGGGUAGUACUCGGGUGGGUGACCACCGGGGAAGUCCGAGUGCUGUCUACU
rnacentral:rRNA from 1 species